UACGUAGGGUGCGAGCGUUAAUCGGAAUUACUGGGCGUAAAGCGUGCGCAGGCGGUUUUGUAAGACCGGCGUGAAAUCCCCGAGCUUAACUUGGGAAUGGCGCUUGUGACUGCAAGGCUAGAGUAUGUCAGAGGGGGGUAGAAUUCCACGUGUAGCAGUGAAAUGCGUAGAGAUGUGGAGGAAUACCGAUGGCGAAGGCAGCCCCCUGGGACGUCACUGACGCUCAUGCACGAAAGCGUGGGGAGCAAACAGG
rnacentral:rRNA from 1 species